rnacentral:rRNA from 1 species
AUUGAACGCUGGCGGCAGGCCUAACACAUGCAAGUCGAGCGAGCGGCGGACGGGUGAGUAAUGUCUGGGAAACUGCCUGAUGGAGGGGGAUAACUACUGGAAACGGUAGCUAAUACCGCAUACCAUCAGAUGUGCCCAGAUGGGAUUAGCUGGUAGGUGGGGUAACGGCUCACCUAGGCGACGAUCCCUAGCUGGUCUGAGAGGAGGACCAGCCGCACUGGAAGUUGGACACGGUCCAGGCGCCGACGGGGGGCAGCAGUGGGGAAUAGUGCACAAUGGGCGAAAGCCUGAUGCAGCCAUGCCGCGUGUGUGAAGAAGGCCUUCGGGUUGUAAAGCACUUUCAGCGGGGAGGCGUUACCCGCAGAAGAAGCACCGGCUAACUCCGUGCCAGCAGCCGCGGUAAUAC